GGUCCUCAAUAAGUAUUUGUUGAAAGAAUAAAUAAACCAACAAGUCUUAUUUGAGCACCUGUUAUGUG
rnacentral:pre_miRNA from 1 species